GCUUUCGUGGUGCAGUAGUCAGCACGCUCGACGCGUAACCGAGAGGUCCAUGGUUAGAUUCCCGGCGAAGGCG
rfam:Stegodyphus mimosarum contig2395, whole genome shotgun sequence.